CUCAUCGUCGGUUUCGGCACACCACAACCGACUUGCUCCUUUUAUCAUCCUACGCUUAUUCAUGGUAUUUCACACUGUACUAUCUUAAGCACCUAACACAAGUAUUAAGGCAAUUUGCCUGCAUUUGUGGGAGGUGCUGGUUUUCCACCCCUAGCCUACUUAAGGCACUCCCCUUGCCUGGCUCCUUACCGUUCAAGGUCAGCGUUGAAUGACCCUCCCACCACACCACUUUUAACAAUUAUUUUCCUUUCUAUUUCUUUUCCUGGGUGGGCCCUCUUCUUUCUCAGGCCUACCUCAUCGUCGGUUUCGGCACACCACAACCGACUUGCUCCUUUUAUCAUCCUACGCUUAUUCAUGGUAUUUCACACUGUACUAUCUUAAGCACCUAACAC